rnacentral:piRNA from 1 species
UGUGAUGAAUUUCCCAGGUGUUCUUGC